rnacentral:rRNA from 1 species
UGGGCGUAAAGCGCGCGUAGGCGGUUUGAUAAGCGAGAUGUGAAAGCCCCGGGCUCAACCUGGGAACGGCAUCCGGAACUGUCAGGCUAGAGUGCAGGAGAGGAAGGUAGAAUUCCCGGUGUAGCGGUGAAAUGCGUAGAGAUCGGGAGGAAUACCAGUGGCGAAGGCGGCCUUCUGGACUGACACUGACACUGAGGUGCGAAAGCGUGGGUAGCAAACAGGAUUAGAUACCCUGGUAGUCCACGCCGUAACCGAUGUCGACCAGCCGUUGGGUGCCUAGAGCACUUUGUGGCGAAGUUAACGCGAUAAGUCGACCGCCUGGGGAGUACGGCCGCAAGGUUAAAACUCAAAUGAAUUGACGGGGGCCCGCACAAGCGGUGGAGCAUGUGAUUUAAUUCGAUGCAACGCGAAGAACCUUACCUACCCUUGACAUCUACAGAAGCCGGAAGAGAUUCUGGUGUGCCUUCGGGAACUGUAAGACAGGUGCUGCAUGGCUGUCGUCAGCUCGUGUUGUGAAAUGUUGGGUUAAGUCCCGUAACGAGCGCAACCCUUGUCCUUAUUUGCCAGCGAGUAAUGUCGGGAACUCUAAGGAGACUGCCGGUGACAAACCGGAGGAAGGUGGGGACGACGUCAAGUCAUCAUGGCCCUUACGGGUAGGGCUACACACGUGCUACAAUGGCCGGUACAAAGGGCUGCGAGCUCGCGAGAGUCAGCGAAUCCCUUAAAGCCGGCCUCAGUCCGGAUCGGAGUCUGCAACUCGACUCCGUGAAGUCGGAAUCGCUAGUAAUCGUGAAUCAGAAUGUCACGGUGAAUACGUUCCCGGGCCUUGUACACACCGCCCGUCACACCAUGGGAGUGGACUGCACCAGAAGUGGUUAGCCUAACGCAAGAGGGCGAUCACCACGGUGUGGUUCAUGACUGGGGUGAAGUCGUAACAAGGUAGCCGUAANUCNCA